rnacentral:rRNA from 1 species
ACGGAAGGCAGCAGUGAGGAAUAUUGGUCAAUGGGCGGAAGCCUGAACCAGCCAAGUCGCGUGAAGGAUGAAGGUAUUAUGUAUUGUAAACUUCUUUAGACGUAGAGAAAUAAGAGGCUCGUGAGCCUUGAUGCUAGUAUACGUAGAAUAAGGAUCGGCUAACUCCGUGCCAGCAGCCGCGGUAAUACGGAGGAUCCGAGCGUUAUCCGGAUUUAUUGGGCUUAAAGGGUGCGCAGGCGGCCCUGUAAGUCAGCGGUUAAAUCGUGGAGCUCAACUCCAUCCCGCCGUUGAUACUGCAGGGCUUGAUUGCGGUCGAGGUUGGCGGAAUUCGCCGUGUAGCGGUGAAAUGCAUAGAUAUGGCGAAGAACUCCGAUUGCGUAGGCAGCUGACCAGGCCGUAAAUGACGCUCAUGCACGAAAGUGCGGGGAUCGAACAGGAUUAGAUACCCUGGUA